AUUUAGAAAAGAAAAAAAGAAAAGGAGGAAGAAAACGAACCUAUUUUGGCGAGGAGAAACAAAAAGCCAUAGAUCAUCCAGAUUGGAAACAUGAGGCUUUGAAGAAAGUAAAGACAUUGAUGGAUUAGCUUGUUUUACUUCGAUUCUUCGGUUGAGGGGUCGAGGAUCAUAUUCCUUCCACACGUGGCUAGUUAAGUUACCAUUAGAUGGAGUUUUUGGUGAGUCCUCAUCUAUCAAGGGUGAGUUAUGAGUUUUCUCCUUUUUGAAAGACUUUUUCACAUUUAUAUUGAGGGUGAGUUAGGGACAUGUCUUAGCCCCCGCCCAUCUUGAUUAGU